UUUUAUCAAAAAGCAAGUAGAAUUGUAUUGUACUCGUACCUUCUUAAAAGCAUAGCUAAAAAUAUAUUACGUUUUGGUAAUAUAAUAUCUUUUCUAGGUAAUGGUAGUAAUGCAGAUUUUUUACGCUCCUCAAAUAAAUAUAAGCCAAGCACAGACAGUGAUAGUUCUUAUGAGACAGAUAGUUCAGAUGAUAAUCUCCCACUCAGUACACUAGUUCACAAUAAAAAGCGAAUCAAAAAUAAAAAACAGCAAAGUUCACAUUCGUCAGAUGAUGACGUCCUGGGGUAAAACUGUAGGUGUUAACGUUGCAGAAACAGGUGAAAAUGUUGAAGUUAUCAGUCCUGAAAUAGAGGACGACCGUUCUAAGAAGAAAUCGAGAAGAAGGAGCAGAAAUUCCGAAAAAUGGAAAAGAAAGGCUGCUGCCAUAGCCAGAUGUAAAGGCGAAGAAUAUAUGGGCCAAAAGGAUUAUAAAAUUUGCGCAAAAAGCGUAAGAAGAGAAAA